rnacentral:rRNA from 1 species
GAUGAACGCUGACAGCAUGCUUAACACAUGCAAGUCUUUGGCGAAGCUGUGCUUGCACAGCCUAGCCAAGGCGGACGGGUGAGUAACGCGUAAGGAACUUGCCCUGCAGUCAGGGAUAACAGACGGAAACGACUGAUAAGACCUGGUAAAGUCAGGCGGACUCAUGUCCAGCCUGAUGAAAAGAGAUGCUGCAGGAGAGCCUUGCGUCCUAUUAGCUUGUUGGUGGGGUAACGGCCCACCAAGGCGAUGAUAGGUAGCCGGCCUGAGAGGGUGGACGGCCACAAGGGGACUGAGAUACGGCCCUUACUCCUACGGGAGGCAGCAGUGGGGAAUAUUGGACAAUGGGGGCAACCCUGAUCCAGCAAUUCUGUGUGCACGAUGAAGGUUUUCGGAUUGUAAAGUGCUUUCAGCAGGGAAGAAAAAAAUGACGGUACCCGCAGAAGAAGCGACGGCUAAAUACGUG